rnacentral:tRNA from 1 species
GCUGGCGUAGCUCAGUUGGUAGAGCACCUGAUUUGUAAUCAGGCGGUCGGGGGUUCAAGUCCCUUUGCCAGCUCCA